rnacentral:piRNA from 1 species
UGUACCAAUUCUAGAAGGUGUUGAUG